AUUGAACGCUGGCGGCAGGCCUAACACAUGCCAGUCGAACGGUAACAGGGAUCAGCUUGCUGAUUCGCUGACGAGUGGCGGACGGGUGAGUAAUGUCUGGGAAACUGCCUGAUGGAGGGGGAUAACUACUGGAAACGGUAGCUAAUACCGCAUAACGUCGCAAGACCAAAGAGGGGGACCUUCGGGCCUCUUGCCAUCGGAUGUGCCCAGAUGGGAUUAGCUAGUAGGUGGGGUAACGGCUCACCUAGGCGACGAUCCCUAGCUGGUCUGAGAGGAUGACCAGCCACACUGGAACUGAGACACGGUCCAGACUCCUACGGGAGGCAGCAGUGGGGAAUAUUGCACAAUGGGCGCAAGCCUGAUGCAGCCAUGCCGCGUGUAUGAAGAGGGCCUUCGGGUUGUAAAGUACUUUCAGCGGGGAGGAAGGGAGUAAAGUUAAUACCUCUGCUCAUUGACGUUACCCGCAGAAGAAGCACCGGCUAACUCCGUG
rnacentral:rRNA from 1 species